rnacentral:rRNA from 1 species
UACGGGGGGGGGUAAGCGUUGUUCGGAAUUACUGGGCGUAAAGCGCGUGUAGGCGGCUACGCAGGUCCGUUGUGAAAACUGGAGGCUCAACCUCCAGACGUCGACGGAAACCGUGUGGCUAGAGUCCGGAAGAGGAGAGUGGAAUUCCCGGUGUAGCGGUGAAAUGCGCAGAUAUCGGGAAGAACACCCGUGGCGAAGGCGGUUCUCUGGGACGGUACUGACGCUGAGACGCGAAAGCGUGGGGAGCGAACAGG